AUUGAACGCUGGCGGCAUGCCUUACACAUGCAAGUCGAACGGCAGCACGGGAGCAAUCCUGGUGGCGAGUGGCGAACGGGUGAGUAAAGUAUCGGAACGUGCCCAGUCGUGGGGGAUAACGUAGCGAAAGUUACGCUAAUACCGCAUACGAUCUAUGGAUGAAAGCGGGGGAUCGCAAGACCUCGCGCGAUUGGAGCGGCCGAUAUCAGAUUAGGUAGUUGGUGGGGUAAAGGCUCACCAAGCCGACGAUCUGUAGCUGGUCUGAGAGGACGGCAGGCCAAAAUGGACUGAGACACGGCACAGACUCCUACGGGAGGCAGCAGUGGGGAAUUUUGGAAAAUGGGCGAAAGCCUGAUCCAGCCAUGCCGCGUGCAGGAUGAAGGCCUUCGGGUUGUAAACUGCUUUUGUACGGAACGAAAAGGUUUGGCCUAAUAAGCUGAGCUCAUGACGGUACCGUAAGAAUAAGCACCGGCUAACUACGUGCCAGCCGCCGCGGUAA
rnacentral:rRNA from 1 species